ensembl:lncRNA
CUCGCAAGUGGAGAGUGUUUGCUAGCGCUGUCUGUAGAAAACGCCGUUUUUACCGUUCUUCCUGCUGUAAACGCCACUAUUUUGUUCAGAAAAAAAACAUCACGUGUAUUUUUUAUCAUAACUCUGGUUUUACGUGGCCCAUCGACACAAUUCAAAAACUGGUAUAUAGUUUGAAGUCUGCACUUUCGACCCAAGGUGAAAUGGAGACUCUGACUUACUGCAUCUUGUAGCUGUGUCGUCUUAAAUUGGUCAUGUGAUUUUGACGCGCCGGCGCGUCCGGCGACCCCAGAGGGUUAAUUCUUCAAAGUGUUCGACAAGGCCCUGGAAACAUUCCUCAUGUCCACAUGGACAUGAUGGCAUCACGCAGUUGCUGCAGAUUUGUUCUCUCUAUUUGUGUGCGUGUGUGUGGUAACCACACCUUACCUUUCAGGGACAGGAUCCUCUUCGUCCCAGCCCAACUAGUUUAAGGGAGAACAAAUGUGGCCGAAGGUUGGAUCUGAUAUGAGGCGAACAGGAGACCGGUCUAAAAAUAUUUAAAGUCUUCAUGAGGGUCAGGUGUGGGAAAAUGCCCCCUAGCAUUUCCUCAUUUUAAGUCCUGAUGACAUCACACAUGACAUCAGCAGGUCGAACCAAGUGGAGGGGUUUCUUUUUCCAUAGAAAUGCUUCCUCUGAAGGGAUUUGUUGAAUCUUUUUCUUUUUGUUAAUAGAGCCAUUUAGUUGUGUAAAUGUGCUAAUUAGACGUGUGAGGAGGUUUUGUCUUUUUUAAUCAUCUGUGUAAAGUUUUAGAUCCCUCAGUUCAAGUGAGUGGUACUGGCUGGGCUAAUUGAAGGGCUGCCAGUCUCUGCCAUAUUCAGAUGAGAGAGGAGAGGUGAGCUGUGUUACCAGAGCCAUGUACCGUUGAGUUUUGUUAACUGAGUUACUUUGGGGGGGGAAGUUUUAUUAAAUG